UGUUUUAUUGCUUAAUUUCACAAACAUUAUUUUAAUCCUCCAUCCCUAUUGAGUAAUUCUAUAACAUUAUAGAAAAUUUCAUGUUAAAACUAGUAACAAGAAGAAGACCUUCUCUUAAAUGUAAGUGUUGAUCAGAAAGGACAAACCACUGAUAUUUAUCAUCAUUGAACCAAGAAUAGUAACUCAUCAAGAAAACACUAUUUUUAUUUAUGUUAACCUAACACAAGAACAUUGUAAGAAAGAUUAAAAGAAAAAGAAGGAACUCGGCAAAUAUUAACCUCGCCUGUUUACCAAAAACAUCGCCUCUUGAGCUUUAUAAGAGGUCCAGCCUGCCCAGUGACUCUGUUCAACGGCCGCGGUAUCCUAACCGUGCGAAGGUAGCGUAAUCACUUGUUCUUUAAAUGUGGACUAGUAUGAAUGGCACUACGAGGGUUACACUGUCUCCUUUCUCUAAUCAGUGAAACUAAUUUUCCCGUGAAGAAGCGGGAAUACGCCUAUAAGACGAGAAGACCCUAUGGAGCUUUAAACAAUCAGCAAUUACUUUUAAAAUCAAAAAUUUCAGAAUAUUCAUUUUUUAAGUAACAUGACUGCAAGUUUUCGGUUGGGGUGACCAUGGAGAAUAACACAACCUCCACAUUGAACGAAUUUCAUUCUAAGCUAAAAAUGACCUAUUAAAGCAUCAACACACUGACAUCUAUUGACCCGAUAUAUUUGAUCAACGAACCAAGUUACCCUAGGGAUAACAGCGCAAUCCACUUCAAGAGCCCCUAUCGACAAGUGGGUUUACGACCUCGAUGUUGGAUCAGGGUAUCCCAGUGGCGCAGCCGUUACUAAA
rnacentral:rRNA from 1 species